UUUACUUUUCUGUGUAAUGGGAAAUAUCAUAGUUAUUUACAGCAUAGAGCUGCUCUGAGAACUGAAUGAGAUAAUGAAAGUAAAAUGCUUUGCACAGUGUAUGUGGUAAUUUUACCCCAAUUUCCCUUUGAGGAAUCAACCCACCUCCACUCCGAAUCCAUUGGCUUUGAGCAGGGCUGACCCACUCCACCUCCUCCUCCAAGUUAGAUGUACUACCCAGGCCCAAGCUGAGCUCCCAGGUGAGUGGUUCCGGGAUUGGCAUAUGACCCAAGCAGGCCAUCAGAGCUAACAAGACACAAAAUGUCUGACUUUGAAGAAAGCGUCUCUCUCUUUACUUUGGAACUUGAACCUGUGACUAUGUGGAACUGGAAUUACUGCAGCCGUCUUUACAUCUGAAUAUAGAAUCAACACAGUGGGGAGCAGAGCCAGUGAUGAUAUUAUUUGAGCAUUGAAUCAGGCUGUACCUGAGAUAUACCAGGACACCCUUCAGUUACGUGAACCAAAGAAUUGGUUUUUUCUUUCACAUAAGCCACUUUGAUUUGGGUUUAUGGACACUUGCACCUGAAGGAGGCCAAAUGGAUACAUUAGUGAUGCUGGGGAAAAUUGGAAGAGGACAAGUUUUGUGUUACAGCUAAAUGGGAUACUAACAACUUUAGAGAGAGCAAUAUUAGUGGAGAAGUUCAAGUUCAGCAUAACUUGGAGUGAAUUGAAGGGCAUAGGACAGGGGAGAAAGGGAGAUGAAAAGCCUAGAGGAAUCAAACAGUGUGGUCAUCCCCAACUUUAUUAGUCAUCAAAGAAAAGUAAAUUAGAAUAAAUGUGAUACCAUAACACACUACUAGAACGACUAAAAUGAAAAUAAAAAAAGAAAAGAGGAUUUCAAGUAUUGACAAGGAUAUAGAGCAAUUGGAACUCUCAUACACUGACGGUGAGAAUGCAAAUCUAUGCAAACACUGCAGAAAACUCAUUGGCAGUAUCUACUAAGGCUGAAUGUAUGCACACCCUAUGACCCAGACAUUUAACUGACAGAUAUCCACACAUAUGUGCACCAUAAUACAUGUACAGGAAUGUUGAUAGCAGCUCUAUUUGUAAUAGCUUCAAACUGGAAACUACCCAAAUUCCCUUUAACCAUAGAAAACUCAUGGUGUAUUCUCUCAAUGAAAUACUACACAACAAUGAAAAUAAAUGAACUACAAAGCUCAAAACCAGGCAGAAUAAGCCUAUGGGGCUAUCAGUCAGGAUACUGAUUAGCCUCUGAGAGGGCAGACUGGAAGGAACAAGAGGCGGGCUUCUGGGAUGCAAAUAACUUUCUAUUUCUUAACUUGGGUGCUGGUUAUACAAGUGUGUUCACUUUGUGAAAAUUCACUUAAUAAUUUGUGCACUUUUCUGUAUAUUUUCCGUAUUCCAACUAAAAGUUCAGAAAAUAAAAGUGUGGGUGUGAGGAGUUAUAAGCAAUGGAGUACAGUUGGAAAGGAGGCUAGAGAUCGGACAGAGGGUGAAAUGAUUGGUUUCAUGUCUCGUGUCUCCAAAUCUUAGAAGUCCAGAAGUGGGAGGGACUAAAUUAACCUAG
ensembl:lncRNA